AUAUCAGCUGAGACUACUUAUUAUACACGCACACACUUGACUUUUUGAUAAACCCCUGUAAAAUGUUCAGAUAAUUUUGUUUGCAAUAGGAGGGAUUUGGGGGAGCCUGCAACAGAGGGAUCCGAAGUUCUAGGCCAGUCUCUGUUAUAUGAGCCCCUGCCUUAUAAAAACAACUACACAGAAAACAGAAGCCAGGAGGGUGUCAGCGUGAGAAGUUACUUCGUGUGUCUGUGUUGUGCCGACUCAGCUGUGACACUAGUAACACGGGCCUUUCCAAAUGACACUAUUGCCUGAGACACCAUAGGAAGGAAGUGCUUUGCAGUUUCACCAGUGAUGAUGGCCAGAGGAGCAUCAGGUAGGUUUGGGUAGGGGCUGUGGUGCCCAGCCCCAGAAGGAUGCUCCUGGGACAAUGUUUGGCUCUGCAGCUACGGUCGAGACUCUGAACACAGGCUGGCUCCUAGGGCUCAGGCACAGAAAUAGAGUUAAGAGAACGCUGGGUAGAGUCUGCUGUUUUGGGAAAGAAAUGCAGCUUGCUUUUCGCUUUCUUGUUUUGCUUCCCACCCUACACCGAGCCCAGCCUCCAUCUGUGUGACCGCCCAGGACGGAAGUCUUCAUCGAACCAGGAGCCGCUGCCAGUUCUGUGGCCAGGGGAGUGCUCAGUUCAGCAGAUGGGGACAUGAAGGUCCUGAGAAGAGGAUCCACUCAUUUGCGUGGCAAGCACACAGGAGCUGCUCCGCAAACAAGGCGGUUGGGGUCCUAAGCACAGGGAGAUUCCUGCCAGCUGGACCAAAACACUUGUGUCAACCAUGUCAGCAUCGUGGCACACACACCUACAGAUGCUUGCUUGCUCCCUCGCUCAUCUCCACAGGCUCCAUGAAGAGGGAGGAAGGAACGGCUUCCCUUAGUAAGCCCGGGUGCCGUGGUCAACCCUGUAAUCUGUGACUUGACAGAGAGAGCAGCCAGCUCUCCUCCCACGUGGAGACUCCCGGGGAAAGAGUGUGACAAACAUGGCACCUUCUGCUGCACACCAGCAACCCGGGAUCUUCAGUGGAGGCUGAUUUGAAGGGAGGGGCUUAGCAGGCUAGUGGCACAUCUGAACAUGCCGUGCGCGCGCAUGGGCUUCCAUGAGUCCAGCAAGAGAGAGCAGGCUGGGCAUGUCACUCAUUGGUGGAGUACUUGCCUAGGGCAUGUGAUCCUCUAGGUUUAAUUCUCAGAACAAAGAAGAGGAGGAGGGGCAGAAGAAGAAAAAAGAAGAGGAGGAGGAGUUUCCAAACCGUCAUAAGAUGUGGUAGAAUACCUACCCAGCAUGCAUGAAGUACCAAGGUCCAAGCCCCAGUACAGUGUGGGUGGGGCAAGGAAAGACCAAUGGAUGGCAUGAUCCAAUCAGAGAAAACAUCAAAUUAAAUUUCAGGCCGGCAUAGUGGCUCAUGCCUGCCAUCCCAGGACUCAAAAGACCAGAGGUUCGUGAAUCAAGAGUUCAAGGUCAUCCUUGGCUACAUAGCAAGACUGAGGGUGGACUACAUGAGACCGUGCCAGAAUAAAAUUCAAACUGUAUUUGGGCCAUCACAGAUUUCAAAUUUCAGGUGACUAUAUUCCUGACUGUCAUAGCUACUUUUCUGUCGCUGUGAUAAAACACUAUGACCAAAGCAACUUACAGAAGGAAGGGUUUUAUUUGGCUUAGAGUCCCAGAGGGAUAAGGCGUGAUGGCAUCAACAGGAAGCCGGAGCUCUCCUCCUUGAUGUGGCUCUCAGGCAUGAAGAGAGACAGCCAUGAAGCAGAGAGAGAGAACUGAGAGGCGUUUACUGUCAGAGCCAGUCUCUGUGAUACAUUCCUCUGUGAUACAUUCCUCUGUGAUACAUUCCUCUGGCCACACCAGUGGUUCCCAACCUUCCUAAU